AUUACUCAAUCUGGAAAGUGCAAAUACACACAUGAACCUGUUAGCCGAUGGGCCCACUCUGCAUGGGUGGUGGACGACGACCCUGGCUCAGGAUUCUGCAGGAAACAAGUGAUGAUAGAGGUGUCAUUAGGAACUUUAUGGAUAUUUAUGCGCCUCCCUUUCAUUGCCAUUUGGAAACUCCUCACGCAGAAGUCAAGGAAACUCCAAUCCCACUUAAACUUCAUUGCGGAGAAACAGAGUUCUGAAAAAAAAGCAGCUACCAUGGACCUCUCUUUUAAACGCAAGUACACCCACACACAUUCGGAUACCAAGGAAGGAAGGAAAGAAAGAAAGGAAAGAAAAGGGAGGGGAGGAAGGAAGAGCAAAGUCCUCUCUAAAAGUCUCAAUUAUAUAUAUAGCCUCUGAUUGUCACCUCUCCUCCGUCCCACCAUUUUUCGUACUUGUAUUGGGUGGCAGGGACACUUUUCAAGAGUUCUGUGUUCGAUUGUUCACUCUGAGUACCUCUCCACCAUCCUCCAGUCGUUGCCCUCAUUGGGAGAGAUGCUUGCUACUCUGCUAGUACCACGCCUUGGUUCCGGUCUUUACUGUUGGCUGGUAGGUCGGGAGGCACCUCUAGCAUGAGACAGUGUCUGGAAGCCAGGAUUUCCCUCAUCUAUAUGCGCCGGUCCCCAGCUCCCUGGUCGCCAGGGUUUCUCUCCAGUUGAAUUCCGUGUUCCUUCAGGUUGAACAGUAGCUUCAGCGGUUUUUCACGCUCAGAAAUGAUGAGGCCCAAUUCCAAUCUUCCCUCCCGCCGGAAGUAAGAAGGGGAAUUCUGAGUUGCUUGUCGCCUGACAGCUUAAAAUAGCAACGAAAACAGCCAGCAUCUUUGCUUAAAAACCCAAGGUUCCCGCCAGUGUUUACCAUACUUCCUCUAGAGUUUAAGAAGUUAAGAACUUCCGAGAUCUUGAAUUUCCUCUUUGCAGCACAGCGAACGGGGUCGGGUAUAAAAAUGCUCCAAGGAGCAAGUAAUUACGAACGUUUAUUGACACUACAAGUGGCCCACAGGGAGCCUUUCGAGUUUAUUGAUGUCUAGGCAAAUCCAGCCUGCAUUAAUGCAUUUCUGUUAGAUUGACUUCUGUUAGACUCACUUUUCUUCUGGCAAAAACUGCCAGAAUAAAACAGCUUCUUAUUUAAGUUAAAAGGGAUCCGGGGCUGAGGGCAGGGGUCGGGUGGGAGAGGGAUGCAUGGUUAGGAUGCUAAAUUCUCAAGGAUAAACUUUGAUUUUUAAACAGUAGACAACUAUAUUUUAGAUUAUAGGUAAAACAUCACUCUCUGUCAGGGAUAGAGUAAUAUGCAUCGUUUCAUUAAACUCAUUAUUUCUUAAGCAAUGGUUAUGGGGCAGGCAAUGUGUGCGGAGAUGGGAACACAAAGAUGAAUAAAACUUAGCAUCUAGUCAGACACAAAUCCUACUCACUCAAAGGGGGCAUCUUUUAAAAAUAAUAAUUUACAGUAUGGCAACAUGAAUCAGAAACAUCAUUUAAAAUAUAUAUGGUAUCUGAGUAAGCUCCUGGGUUGAAGCAGAUGGGGUGUUUAAGCCUUUUGAAGCCCGGAAGAUGAGUUUCCGGGUGAAGGGGACACACAGACUCCUGUUUUCAAAGCUGACAAGGAAGUAAGCCAAGCAGAGGGAGGAUAGAACAUUGCAGGUGGAAAAAGGAGUAUGCGCAACUCCAGAGAGUAAUAAAACUCUGGUGCUUUGGGGCAACUUUGAAGUGGCUCAGUACUGUUAGAAGGGAAAGUGGUAAGGGAGAGUGCUGGUCCAAAAGUUUCGGUGUACUCAUAAUAUUCUAUGGCUCCAGAGUGUGGAACAGUCUUCUGUAAUGAGAAAGCCACAAGAAAAUCUUCAAGAGGAAAACAGAUAUCCAUGGCUGUGGAUCAACUUCUGUGGCUCUGUUCCCCUUGUCUUCUCACACCAGAUUCCAGCCUCUUCAAGAAGUGGUCCUUAUUUGGGACAUCUAGCAAGACAGACCUGUCAGAAACACUUGAUGCCUUCUGAAGUUUUUCUUUUUCUUCUCAGAUGUUUCUAUACGCUAUAUUCCCUCACAUUCCAUUGGCUAAAGCUUGAAAUGUGGCCAGGCCCUAAAUCAAUGGGACAAUAAUGUAGUACCUCUUUAAGGAGGUCUCUAUAGGCCGCAUGUCAAUAAAUGAUUCAGGAUAAAGCCCUUACUAGAAAGAGAACAGAGCAAAAAUUGAGCGGCAAAAAUAAGAUCUACCGCUGGAAGGUGGUACUGAUCCCUCACACAAGUUAUGAAAAUGUGGUGGAUAAAUCAUUGAGAAACUAAUAUUCAGGAGAUAAAUCCACACUUUUUAAAGAGACAUGUAUCUGUCAUGAAUAAAAUCCAAAUGCUGACGAUGUCUUCAGGGUCCAAGAGGAUAGAGGAUUUAAGAAAAGAAUAAAUGUCAGGAAUACUUUUUUUCUGAAAAAGUCUAGAAAAUAAAAACAAAUGAAACAAUG
rnacentral:lncRNA from 1 species